AUCGCUUCUCGGCCUUUUGGCUAAGAUCAAAGUGUAGUAUCUGUUCUUAUCAGCUUAAUAUCUGAUACGCCUUCCAUCGGAGGGCAUCGAUAUUAAACUGAUUUUUGGAACUGGGUGAGAGAUUUGGAGCUUGCUCCAUUCUCGCCACGGGUUAACCCGGUAUUGCAGUACUUCCGGGACUGGCCCACAACUC